ensembl:lncRNA
AUUUUCCUUUCUGUCUUUCAUGUAAUGACCGUGAAAUCCCUUCCAUAAGAACAUAGAGGUUUUGUUCUGUUCUGUUUCUAAUUUCAGAACAAUAAGCCUCCAAUGCACCACCACCCACCGGAAAAAGAGCACACAGUGACUGACAAGAUGGUUUCCGGGUGUCAUGUGAGAAGCAUUGAUCUAUGGUCUGUUCUCCUUCCUACUUCCUCUUCUUCUCUUUGCCCAUGUUCUGGUGCUAUCCAGAAGGAAAAGACUUUCUGAAGGAGCCAGCACAGGUGCAGGAGCCACAAGUGGCCAGGACCAGUUGGGAUUCAUUUGGGACUGAGGUAAGGCUGGAGUUCCAAAGCAAGAGGCUAAGAGGCAGCAGGGAUGUUGGAAGACGUGUUGAAGCUCCUGUACAGUCCUUUCAAGUUUCAAGCUGGUUCCUUGAACAGGUGACAUUAAACACCCAGAUAUGGUAUAUUUGUGAGCAGAAGGUUUACAUCUUGUUUGGUUACAUUAGUUGUCAAACAGAAAGCGAUUAGAAAUAUGCCUGACAUGUAGUAACUGCCUACUAAAGGACAGUAAUUACCGUUCAUCAAUGCUGUACCUUCCUCUGUCUCCCAAGGGCCUUUCAUCCUGAGAACCUGGCUCAAGUCUCUUCCUCUAUGACAGUGCUCUGGAUACUCCAGCUCAGUCACACUAUGGCAUCUACAACACACUUAAUCAUUUAUUUGUCUUCUAAUUGUUUCCUGGUGUUCAUAAUAUCCCUCAUCUUCUACUCCAAGUGCCUGAAGGUACAGUGCCAAGUAGUAUAGCACUGCCGUCAUUGCACGGUGUUGAUGGAGACUGCUGGGGUUCAAAACCCUCAUCUUCUACUAACUAGCUGUAUGAUCUAGUGCAAGUUAUUUAACAUCUCAAGGCCAUUAGUAUAUUUGUGCACAUAGCUUUUGUUUUAUGUUGGGUUCUUUUCUUCCAAGCAAUGGGAUUACUGGGUCAAAAGAUAUUGCUUACAGCUGUGUGACUUAGGGAGUUACAUACAUCUUAUGUCUUAGUUUCCUUGUAUUUAAAAUGAAGAUCAUAGACUUUCUCAUAGUGUGACUCUGAUGAUUAGCAGACAAUACACAUAGUUUCUGGCAAAUAGUAGACAGUGUGUUCAUGCUAACUAUUAUUGUUGUUUGAUUGAUUGAAAUUCUUGUGCUAACAUUUCUUUAUGCUCAGGUGCUCUGCUGAUCAAAGGAUCAGAAGGAUGUUUGACAGAGGAAAAUAAAUCGAAUUAUUUCCUUAACUGAGGCUUUUGUAUUACCUGAGUUUUAUAAUACUGUCUGCUUUUCUGACUCUCUAUCUCCAUGAUUAAUUAAAAGAUAGCUAAAUUUGAUAUGGUGGCAGCUUUUCACAAGAUCUACUAAAAACAUGAGAUAUACAUAUUGUUUUGGCAAUCUGGAAGGGGCAAAAGGAAAAAAGUGAAAGGCCUUAGAAAUACAAUUCUAAAUCUUUCUUUGCUGCAUAAGAAGACCAACUUUCUUCUUGCCUGUAUAAACAAUUUACUUUUAGAGCAGAACUUAUGAAAUGUAGACCUGGGAUGGGAAGGCAAGAUUCAAUUUGUGGGGUCAUUCUUGGUGAGAAAAGUGUUCCCAGAAAUAAUAUUUGAAGAAGGAUUACUUUCUGAACCCCGGUCAAUUUCUUACCUGCUGGCAAAAUAAAUUAUGGUGCUGGGCAGGUUUCAAACCCAUUCAAAUGCCAGAGUUGAUAUCCGAUGAGGUUCUAUUCAGGGCUUUUUUGCACAGAUUUUCAAUGGCUGCCAAGACAUUUGCCUUUUCAUUACAUCUCUGUUAAGCACUAAAGCUCAUGGCUUGAUGUGCUGCACAAGCUGCAGAAGGGGCUGGAUUCUGACAGUCAAGUGUGUCCAGAGAUUAACAGAGGCUGAGCUCAGCUGACAAGGGAAAGAGAGACAUAGUCCCGUGGCAAGGCACUUAGAAAUGACUUUGAUUUCCCUUGUGGAGAUAAGAAAUAACUCUAUCCCUGUUCUAAAAAGAGUAAAGAAUAUGGUCUAACAGUUUUGGCUGAGGAUUUGGAAAAAGGCUUUGUGUGUGUGUGUGUGUGUGUGCAAUUAUAAACAUAAUAUGUAAUGUAUUUAUGUAAUUAUGUG